AUAUAUAUAUAUAUAUAUAUAUGUUUUUUUUAAAACAUAUUUUAUUGACACCUUUCCAAACGAAUAUCCAAUACACAGCAGGCCACAGCAGUUUUAAUGAAAUACUAUAAUAAACCUAAUAAUAUGCUAAUAUAGCCAACAAUUAAAACAACGCUCAAUAUGUGAUAAGACACAUUAUAAAAUAUUAUGGUAAAUUAAUGUACAUGUUGGUGCCAUAUUCAAUUUAACAAGCCAUAAUAGGCACAAACCAUAAUCUACCCACACCCAAAACAGAAUAGUGGUGCAGGGGGUGCUGGAGGCAAAAUGCAAAACUGGAGAAAGUCUCAGUGCACUUUCAGUCAGAUGCAAAUGUAUUUUAUUUACCAACUGUUGAAAAGUGUCUGAGAAGCUUUUUCAUGAAUAUCUGGAAGUAAAUCUAAGUGGUCCUUCAGUUCCAUAAAUUCCAUCUCCAGACAGUGGCAUAUAUAUCAUAAUAUUCACCCAUUGAAUUACUGCCCUGAUUUAUCAGCAUGAUGCUGUGUCCCAAAUGGUAUCUUAGGUGGGGUCCAGUAGGAGCUGGUGGAGGCCUGUAGGGGCUUGUUGGGGCUGGUGGAGUCUGGUAGGGGUCUAUGGGGGCCUGUAGGGGCCAAAACCAGACUUCACUGACUGAUAGCAGUAAAGAGCCCACUACCACCGUCACGGCUGUAGAGAAAACAUCUCAGAGGAAAUUAAACAAAAUAUGUUGUGGAGAGGGGACUCGUGCUGCUGGGCACGUUGUGGUGAGGGACAGAGCAGUGCAGACCGACGAGGGAGGCUAAGAAAACAUGCCUCUUUAUUUACUGCUGUUGUUUUCAGAGUAGAGCUCGCUGUCAAUCCCGUUCUCUUGGUCCUCUCUCUAAGAGGUCUGGUCCAGUAUGGUACUGUAUUAGUUACCUCUUAUAACCCACAAUAAACCAAAAAGCACUUAAAUUCCGUAUACAUGCAUUGGCUUGGGACAGUUGUGAAGGCAUGCACUAAACCAAAUCAUGCAGAUCUUCCUUAGAAAGUAUGUAGAGCACCUGAAUUGUGAAUGAGUUUGUACUUAUCCGUAGUGUUUUUUUAAAAUCAAAUUGAAUGAUAUUUGGUGGAAACCAGUUCAAAGUAGAGUGACCCAAAGAUGAAAAAUGACUGUAGCUGGUACUGUACAUUGAGAAAGUUUGAUCAUAAAGUUACUGAUCCCCUCCCCCCGUGUCAAAGACUUGGAUUUAGGAGGCAGGCAUUGUCAAGGAUUUACUUCCGGCUUUUUGCAACAUCACAUAAAGCCGGAAAUGUAAUACGGCAAUGGUAGCAUCUUAUCUGAACUAAUUUAAAUAUGUACCACCUUAAAACCGUCAUCUCAUGUGCCCCUACCCCUUGCUUUGGCUUUGUUUACAAACCUUAAGCUAGCUACUAGUAGCUAGUUCAAGCAGAAGGUACGACCAAAGAUACUGCUAACCUUUCAUCUGUGGUAUGACUGUUAGCUACAGUAGCAAGCUACUUACCAGCAUGCCGGCAAAAGCACACUGUGUCGUAACUAGUGUAAAAUGAGUGUAAAAUGAACCUUACAUAGUGUAACAUUAACCUUAAACUAUUUCCCAAAGAGUGAAGACAUCCAACAGCAGUGGUUGCUUUUCAUUUCUUAGCUUAGCGAGAUGACUGAAAAUGACGGUCAUGGCACGCGUGUGCAGUGCACAUUUCGAGUGAAGUUGCUUUAUCAAUUUGGGGAGAACAUUCGAUGGGUCUUGCCAGGAAGCUAAUCCUGAAGACGGAAUGCAUCAUUGACAGUGGAUCUUGCAAGCACGGACCAUAAUGUAAGUAUCAGAGUUUGAUGAGUGUGACACAGUAGCCAACAUUUUGGGUGGGAUCACGUUAGAUAAUGCAACUGUGGCUGUGACUGCUUUGACUUGUGAACUGUAUAUUUUCUGUAACAAACCUGAUAGUCACCAUCUGGUUUUUGUUCCUUCAUCCCUAAUUCCUUCAACAUUGAGUCUUAGAGCUGCCAGCACACAGCUGACACAAAAGAAUGUUGUCCACAAAAGGGGUUGUGUGUGUACGUGUGUGUGUGUACUAUUUGUAAUUUACCCCUGAAAAUCAUAUUUUGCCAUUCCAUUGUGUUUAAUUAUUAUUUUUUAAUUACAGUUGAUGUAGCUUGUGUCAUUGGGACUAAUCAUGAUGAUGAGGGGGAAUAUUAUUUCACUUUCCAUCUCCUUUUGUCUAUCCAAUUUCAUCAAACUGUAAUGAUAGACAUUUUAGAAAAAUCAACAUCUCUCUGUCUGCACAGCUUCCCAGGCAACUGCAGCAGGAAUGAUGUGAUACAAAAUCAUCUUUCCCAAGGCAAAGAAGGGGGGAAAUGCUGUGAAGCCUGUGAAGACAGACCCAAUAUACUGCUAUGUUGACAGGCUCCUGGAUCUCCUCUUCAACGAGAUCACCCUUGAUAAAAACACAACAAAACACUCUCGCUCACGGCCGGUUGUGAUACAGCCCGGGAUCGAACCAGGGUCUGUAAUGACACCUCUAGCACUGCAAUGCAGUGCCUUAGACCACUGCGCCACUCGGGAUUUACUUUGUUUAGUUUUUUUAUUCAAGCAUUCAGACGGGAGAUGAGUGUUACAAAUUGUAUAAAUAAAUGGGUCCUGGGACACUGUAUUGCGGCCGGGUGACAAUAUUAGGCUUAUGGCUGAAGUUUUGUAUUUUUAUGUCAAAUUAUUUCUCACCUUUAUUUCUCAUGGUUGUUCAUGUUGCUCAAUAUUUUGGCCAUGCUGGCCUAUCGUAAAAUAUUUAAAUAAAUGUCUGAUCAAUAUA